CGCCGCUCCCGCGCGGCGGCGUCACGGAGAUCGCUCUUGACUCGGACUUGUGGUCGCGAUUGGAGGAAAAAGCGCGGGCCAAGUGCGAACGAGAUGAGGCGGGGAACCCGGCCAAGGAAAGCAGCCACGCUGAUGGAGAGGCCGAGGAGGAAGGGGAGAGCGAGAAGGGGGCGGGGCCUAGGAGCGCUGGGUGGCGCGCGCUCCGGCGGCUCUGGGACAGGGUCCUGGCGCCCGCGCGGCGCUGGCGGCGUCCGCUGCCUAGCAACGUGCUCUACUGUCCGGAGAUCAAGGACAUUGCCCACCUGACCCGUUGAACGUUGUAACCGAGGAACUCGGAAGCCACAGCCGAAGGAAGGUGGGAGCUGCAGCCUCGCGGGGGCUGAUAUCGAGACUACUGUGUCUCAGAUCCCAGGAUUGACAUGUGAUAAGAGAGAUGAGCCGAGGGCAGGAGGGAACGCCCUGGGAGGUGUUGAUGAUGAGUUGGGGAGGCUCCUAGACGAACUCGCCCCCAUCUACUGACUGUGCCAGUCUUACAUUUUCAGGAUGGAGUGGCCAAGGGAUGAUAUAAACAAAGCCUACGUUACUGUGGGAAGAAGACAGACUGUUUUCUUAGCUGGGACUUUGGCUUUUGUCCAGGGUGGCUCUGGUGUGUGGGAGCAACAGGUCCCGUUUUAGCAA